GUAUGACGCAGAGGGGCCCAUACAUGUCCAACUUCUUUUAUUUUAUUUUUCUUUCACUUUACUUAUAAAUACAAGUACUCUUCAUUUCAUUAUUUCACAAACCAAGAUUACUUUCUAUUCGGUAAAUGUUUUACUUUCGUUUAAUUUAAAACUUUAAAAUGUGUUUUUUUAUAUAUAUGUUUAAUUAACUUUUCAUUUUCUUCAGGUUAUCUCAUACAAUUGCAUCCACUAAGCAAUUAAAAAAAACAGGUACGUUUUUAUUUUGUUUCUUCAAUAAUUUAUGAAACUUUUGAUUUGUUAAAAGUAAGUU
rnacentral:lncRNA from 1 species